GAUGAACGCUGGCGGCGUGCCUCAAACAUGCAAGUCGAGCGAGGCUAUGAAUUACCGCAAGGUAAGGCAUAGCCUAGCGGCGAACGGGUGAGUAACACGUGGGUAACCUACCUGGAAGACAGGGAUAACGAUUCGAAAGGGUCGCUAAUACCUGAUAAUAUCCGUCUGCCGGAUGGCGGAGGGAAGAAAGGGGAAACCCGCUUUCAGAUGGGCCCGCGUCCCAUCAGCUAGUUGGUAAGGUAAAGGCUUACCAAGGCGACGACGGGUAGCCGGUCUGAGAGGAUGUACGGCCACACUGGGACUGAGAUACGGCCCAGACUCCUACGGGAGGCAGCAGUUGGGAAUCUUAGGCAAUGGACGAAAGUCUGACCUAGCGACGCCGCGUGAGGGAAGAAGGCCUUCGGGUUGUAAACCGUCUGUCAUGGGGAAGAAGGAAGUGACGGUACCCCAAGAGGAAGCCCCUGCUAACUACGUG
rnacentral:rRNA from 1 species